AUUAAACGCUGGCGGCAUGCCUUACACAUGCAAGUCGAACGGUAGCGCGGGGCAACCUGGCGACGAGUGGCGAACGGGUGAGUAAAGCAUCGGAACGUGCCCUGGAAUGGGGGAUAACGUAGCGAAAGUUACGCUAAUACCGCAUAUUCUGUGAGCAGGAAAGCAGGGGAUCGCAAGACCUUGCGUUCUGGGAGCGGCCGAUGUCGGAUUAGCUAGUUGGUGGGGUAAAAGCCUACCAAGGCGACGAUCCGUAGCGGGUCUGAGAGGAUGAUCCGCCACACUGGGACUGAGACACGGCCCAGACUCCUACGGGAGGCAGCAGUGGGGAAUUUUGGACAAUGGGCGGAAGCCUGAUCCAGCCAUGCCGCGUGAGUGAAGAAGGCCUCGGUUG
rnacentral:rRNA from 1 species